rnacentral:rRNA from 1 species
CGGUGGAGCAUGUGGUUUAAUUCGAAGCAACGCGCAGAACCUUACCAGCCCUUGACAUCCCGGUCGCGGCCUAGAGAGAUCUAGGUCUUCAGUUCGGCUGGACCGGUGACAGGUGCUGCAUGGCUGUCGUCAGCUCGUGUCGUGAGAUGUUGGGUUAAGUCCCGCAACGAGCGCAACCCUCGCCCUUAGUUGCCAUCAUUCAGUUGGGCACUCUAAGGGGACUGCCGGUGAUAAGCCGAGAGGAAGGUGGGGAUGACGUCAAGUCCUCAUGGCCCUUACGGGCUGGGCUACACACGUGCUACAAUGGUGGUGACAGUGGGCAGCGAGACCGCGAGGUCGAGCUAAUCUCCAAAAACCAUCUCAGUUCGGAUUGCACUCUGCAACUCGGGUGCAUGAAGUUGGAAUCGCUAGUAAUCGCAGAUCAGCAUGCU